rnacentral:rRNA from 1 species
GAUGAACGCUGGCGGCGUGCCUAAUACAUGCAAGUCGAGCGAACAGGCGAGGAGCUUGCUCCUCUGACGUUAGCGGCGGACGGGUGAGUAACACGUGGAUAACCUACCUAUAAGACUGGGAUAACUUCGGGAAACCGGAGCUAAUACCGGAUAAUAUAUUGAACCGCAUGGUUCAAUAGUGAAAGACGGUUUUGCUGUCACUUAUAGCUGGAUCCGCGCCGCAUUAGCUAGUUGGUAAGGUAACGGCUUACCAAGGCAACGAUGCGUAGCCGACCUGAGAGGGUGAUCGGCCACACUGGAACUGAGACGCGGUCCAGACUCCUACGGGAGGCAGCAGUAGGGAAUCUUCCGCAAUGGGCGAAAGCCUGACGGAGCAACGCCGCGUGAGUGAUGAAGGUCUUCGGAUCGUAAAACUCUGUUAUUAGGGAAGAACAAAUGUGUAAGUAACUAUGCACGUCUUGACGGUACCUAAUCAGAAAGCCACGGCUAACUACGUG